rnacentral:rRNA from 1 species
AUUGAACGCUGGCGGCAUGCCUUACACAUGCAAGUCGAACGGCAGCACGGGAGCAAUCCUGGUGGCGAGUGGCGAACGGGUGAGUAAUGUAUCGGAACGUACCUUUCAGUGGGGGAUAACGUAGCGAAAGUUACGCUAAUACCGCAUAUUCUGUGAGCAGGAAAGCAGGGGAUCGCAAGACCUUGCGCUGAUUGAGCGGCCGAUAUCAGAUUAGCUAGUUGGUGAGGUAAAGGCUCACCAAGGCGACGAUCUGUAGCGGGUCUGAGAGGAUGAUCUGCCACACUGGAACUGAGACACGGUCCAGACUCCUACGGGAGGCAGCAGUGGGGAAUUUUGGACAAUGGGCGCAAGCCUGAUCCAGCCAUGCCGCGUGAGUGAAGAAGGCCU